UUGAGGCGAAGUAGAGUGAUCCCAUGCUGUCGAGAAAAGCCUCUAGCGAGUGCUGUUGCGGCCCGUACCCCAAACCGUCACAGGUGGUCAGGUAGAGAAUACCAAGGCGAUCGAGUGAACUGUGGUUAAGGAACUCGGCAAAAUACCUCCGUAACUUCGGGAGAAGGAGGACCGUCUGCUGUGAAGCUCCUUGCGGGCUAGCGGUGGGCGGUCGCAGAGACCAGGCCCAAGCGACUGUUUACUAAAAACACAGGUCCGUGCGAAGUCGCAAGACGAUGUAUACGGACUGACGCCUGCCCGGUGCUGGAACGUUAAGAGGACCUGUUAGUCCCUUCGGGGGCGAAGCGGAGAAUUUAAGCGCCAGUAAACGGCGGUGGUAACUAUAACCAUCCUAAGGUAGCGAAAUUCCUUGUCGGGUAAGUUCCGACCUGCACGAAUGGCGUAACGACUUGGGCGCUGUCUCGACCACAGACUCGGCGAAAUUGCACUACGAGUAAAGAUGCUCGUUACGCGCGGCAGGACGGAAAGACCCCGGGACCUUUACUAUAGCUUGGUAUUGGUGCUCGGUUCGGCUUGUGUAGGAUAGGUGGGAGACUGUGAAGUGGCCACGCCAGUGGUUGUGGAGUCAUUGUUGAAAUAUCACUCUGGUCGAAUUGGGUGUCUCAACCUCGGGCCAUGAUCUGGUUCAGGGACAGUGCCUGGUGGGUAGUUUAACUGGGGCGGUUGCCUCCCAAAAUGUAACGGAGGCGCCCAAAGGUUCCCUCAGCCUGGUUGGCAAUCAGGUGUUGAGUGUAAGUGCACAAGGGAGCUUGACUGUGAGACCGACAGGUCGAGCAGGGACGAAAGUCGGGACUAGUGAUCCGGCACCACCUGGUGGAAGGGGUGUCGCUCAACGGAUAAAAGGUACCCCGGGGAUAACAGGCUGAUCUUGCCCAAGAGUCCAUAUUGACGGCAUGGUUUGGCACCUCGAUGUCGGCUCGUCGCAUCCUGGGGCUGGAGUAGGUCCCAAGGGUUGGGCUGUUCGCCCAUUAAAGCGGUACGCGAGCUGGGUUUAGAACGUCGUGAGACAGUUCGGUCCCUAUCCGCCGCGCGCGCAGGAGACUUGAGGAAGGCUGUCCCUAGUACGAGAGGACCGGGACGGACGAACCUCUGGUGUGCCAGUUGUCCCGCCAGGGGCAUGGCUGGUUGGCUAUGUUCGGAAGGGAUAACCGCUGAAGGCAUCUAAGCGGGAAGCUCGUUCCAAGAUGAGGUCUCCCACCACCUUGCGUGGUUAAGGCCCCCCACAGACCAUGGGGUUGAUAGGCCAGAGAUGGAAGCCCUGUGAGGGGUGGAGUUGACUGGUACUAAUAGGCCGAGGGCUUGACUG
rnacentral:rRNA from 1 species